rnacentral:lncRNA from 1 species
UCCUGGCCCAAUCUUUCCCCCACCCCUUGCGACCUGAGAAUGCGCUAGCGGCUAGCGCUACCCUCGCCCGCCGCCACCACCUAGACAUCGCUCACCUCCUCCCAUACCGCCGUGCGAUCCAGCCACAGUCGCCUGAAAUCUCGCUGGGUGACUCCGAUACGCCUCGUCCCAGCCGCCGCCAGAAGAGCUAUUCUACAUACGUCGAGAUGGAGAUGCCCACCUUCUCCUCCCUCCCCCUACCCUCGCCUCACGUGAUCCAACACCAACGAGAGGACGACCUCCUACGAUCCAGCCGUAGUUGCCGCGGAAUCUCGUCGGGACAAAUCCGCCCGGCCUCAUCCCAGCCGCCGUCGGUAGAGGUUAUUUUCCAUAGGCCAAGGUGAGAUUCUUUGUCCGAUGGUGCGAAUUUCGGCUGGUUCCAUGAGCACUUCGUUCCCCGCCGUGCAACCUUUGUUGAUUCGGAAAGACGGGGGCUGUCUGUUUAGCUAAUUCAAUCUGUCAUUGAUCAUGCUAAUUCUUGUUAUAUUGGAAAUAACAUGAACAUGCUGCUCCUUUUUCUAAUCACAAUACUUCUUAGUGGAGAGCUCGGGCGUCUGCGUCUGUGUGGAAGCAGAGCUCGGCUGUUGGCGACAACACGGACGGCUGAUUUGUGACUGGUCGAAGGGUGAGCAUCACAUACCUGUGCGCAUACGCAUAGGUAACAUACUAUCUUGGCCGCGAAAGAGCAAGUUCACAUGUGAUAAACUAUGUUCGUGGUUUCUGUGUUUAUUUUCUACCAUAAGUUCUCAGGGCACCGUUUUGCAUUUACAGUACGCAGACAAAAGAACAAGAGUAAGCAUUUACAGUAUACAGACAAAAGAACAAGAGCAUUUACAGUACGCAGGGAUUUAGGGUUAACUCGGAUCCAAGGCCAUUGAAGGGCUUUGGCUCUGUUCCUUCCUCGCGAGAAUUGUUCUUGCCAUGAACUGUGGCUGUUUGUUAUCUUGGUCGAAAAGCUGAACAUGUCGUACCUUGUCAUUGUAGUAUUGGUCAUCUUUUGCACUUGCUCCAUAAAACAUUUAUCUUGUACAGUACCCAUAGCCCAAUUCUAAUUUGCGCCGUCUGUUUGUAGUGAUUGCGAGGAGAGAGAUGUGCUGCACUUAUGUCAGUAAUCAUGGUAUGCUCGUAUCUGUUAAUUAGAAGCAUAUUUUAUCAGUACUAUUAUUAUUUAGCAAGUUCUUGUUCUUUCCAUAGGUUUGCUGAACAUUCCAAUGCCCGCCUUGAGCAUGCAAAAAUGCUUUUGAAUGCCUCUUAGUCACAAAUCAAGUCACACACCACAUCUCCUUUUUUUGGUAAUUGAAAAUAACUUAUUCUCAAUGUUCUUUUGUCAUUCUCAAAUUUUCAGCAAAGAGGGAAAAGUGGUGCUAUUGAUCAAAGUCAGAAUAUUGCUAAACUAAUUCUUUGUGUAAGCUGUGCAGAGAAAAACAUGAAGUUGAUGAGCUGUGUACGUGAAGAUGAAAGGAAGCCAAGGGAAUAUACUGUGUUCGGCGGUGACCUUGGAAAGUGCAUGUUGCUCCUACAUAGACUUUCCUGAAAAGUCGCUAUUCAAUUUUUCUUUUGUUAGAGAAAAUAUCAUAGUGGGCACCCCUGCAGAAGCAUCAUUGCAAUGUUUUGUGCAGUUUGACCAUGACUAUUCUUGUCAUGCAAUUAUGCGGUGAACAAAAUUAUGUAUCUACUUCGCCUUGAAUUGAAUAAUUUACCGUGGUUCAAUCUUUUGACUCAAAUAUGCGCAAGGAGUUCAAUAAUUACCGUGGUUGCAUUUUGGUGAUGAUAUAUUUUUCCUCCAUAGCAAUGCAUGUGCAUUUAACUAUAUACAAAUGUCUAUUUCAACUAAUACAUGUAUUGCACAUUUUUUAUAUUGUAACAAUAGUGGGUAAAGAGCUCUUGGUUGAUUCAUCUUUGGGAGCAUGACCUAAAUAUAUCACCGUGCAUACAUGACUAUUGUUCUCCUGAUGCAACGCACGG